AUGUUCCUCACCAUAGCCCCGUUGCCACCAGAUGGCGCUAUUAUUCUUUACAUAUUUUGUCACCAGCAGAGCAGCAUACCUAGGCAACAUUGCAGGCCUAUCUCUGCGCCUUCAGGAGAAGUCUUCCCUCACUCCCCAUCCGCCCCCAUGAAACAACACCUCUGAUAAGGGCGUCUAUGUGAUUUUUGCACUUGCAUAGGAGAGGAGAAGGAGUGAUUCCAACGGCACUUGACACCCAGCGGGGCAAGGUGGUCACUGACCUGGAUGACUUUCAAGCAAAAGGUACAGCACCUUAAGCAAAGCAAACAGUGUUUGGUGUUUGGUUCAUAAUAAGUCAACAUCUUCAAGCAUGAAAUGGACCACGUUUGUUUCCCCAACAAAAGCCAUGCAGUGAGAAGGUGUCUGCAUUUUACAGCCUAUAGGCCUUGCGCAUAUUCCGCAAGAAAUGUUUGACUUACAGUACCCCAGAAACAGGUUAUCUAUCCACCAUCUCAGUGAAUAACGAACAGGACGGAUCAUAAUAAAAAUGAACAAUUGUCCCCAAAAAACAACUUUCCCAAUGUUGGCACUUUCAAAUGUAAUGGUCUGAGGGACAUCAAGUAAAAUAAAGACGGUUGACGAAUACAUAAACAAUGAGAUUGUUUGGAAUAGGUGGACAUUUCUCCUGCUUUAAUCUCCAUAUGUGACAAGAACUUAAGUGUAAACUUACCAUAUUUUCACCCGCUGAAACCCUCCAAAAAGAUGAAAGAAAGUAAAGGUUUUGACUUGAGUGGGAAAUUGGGGGGGGCUUUUUUUUGGGGUAAAGGGGUAAAGAUCACCCCUG
rnacentral:lncRNA from 8 species